rnacentral:misc_RNA from 1 species
AAGUCGUAACAAGGUUUCCGUAGGUGAACCUGCGGAAGGAUCAUUAACACGUAUCCACGUUUAAUACAACUUAUCAACAAACUCGACGAACUGAACUCCCUGCUGAAUAAAACUGCGGUGUCGUAAUCCUGUCUUGGUGGGUCCCAGUAAACAUGUAGUUGUUAUAGACUUGUGUUAAGCUGAAGGCUGGCAGGCAUCGACUAUCACACUUCGACUGUGAGCCAAAACAUUUUCAGCAGGCUUACUGACUCUAUUCUCGCGUGUAGAUGCUACAAUCCUUACCAUCAUAAGGCCGAGUUUAGAACCCCAUACCAAUUUCACCAUGCUUUACCUAUUUGACUAAUUUCUAUAUUCUUAGGAGAAAUCCUUUGAAUUACUAAGAUUUAUCUUAACUAAGCACAACUCUUAGCAAUGGAUAUCUUGGUUCUC